rnacentral:rRNA from 1 species
UACAGAGGGGGCAAGCGUUGUUCGGAAUUACUGGGCGUAAAGGGCGCGUAGGCGGCCUUCUAAGUCGAACGUGAAAUCCCCGGGCUCAACCCGGGAACUGCGUCCGAUACUGGAAGGCUUGAAUCCGGGAGAGGGAUGCGGAAUUCCAGGUGUAGCGGUGAAAUGCGUAGAUAUCUGGAGGAACACCGGUGGCGAAGGCGGCAUCCUGGACCGGUAUUGACGCUGAGGCGCGAAAGCUAGGGGAGCAACGGG